AAUGAACGUUGGCGGCAUGGAUUAGGCAUGCAAGUCGGGGGAAUCCCAGCAAUGGGGGAACCGGCGUAAGGGGCAGUAAGGCAUGGGUACCUACCUUGGGGUUCGGGAUAGCCAUCAGAGAUGGUGGGUAAUACCGGAUGACGUCGUGAGACCAAAGAUUUAUCGCCCUUAGAGGGGCCUAUGUGAUAUUAGGUAGUUGGUGGGGUAACGGCCCACCAAGGCGAAGAUGUCUAGCGGGUGUGAGAGCACGACCCGCGGCACUCGCACUGAGACACUGGCGAGACACCUACGGGUGGCUGCAGUCGAGGAUCUUCGGCAAUGAGCGCAAGCUUGACCGAGCGAUGCCGCGUGGGCGAUGAAGGCCUUCGGGUUGUAAAGCUCUUUAGUGGGGGAGAAAAGCCGCAAGGUGUGAUCUAUCCCAAAAAUAAGCACGGGCUAAGUUCGUGCCAGCCGCCGCAGUAA
rnacentral:rRNA from 1 species